rnacentral:rRNA from 1 species
GACGAACCGUGCGAACGUUGUUCGGAAUCACUGGGCGUAAAGGGUGCGUAGGCGGGUCUUUAAGUCAGGGGUGAAAUCCUGGAGCUCAACUCCAGAACUGCCUUUGAUACUGAGGAUCUUGAGUUCGGGAGAGGUGAGUGGAACUGCGAGUGUAGAGGUGAAAUUCGUAGAUAUUCGCAAGAACACCAGUGGCGAAGGCGGCCGACUGGUCCGGUUCUGACGCUGAGGCGCGAAAGCGUGGGGAGCAAACAGG